AGCGAACGCUGGCGGCAUGCUUAACACAUGCAAGUCGCACGGUUGGGGGCAACCCUGGCAGUGGCGGACGGGUGAGUAACGCGUAGGUAUCUAUCCUUGGGUGGGGGAUAACCACGGGAAACUGUGGCUAAUACCGCAUGACGACUGAGGUCCAAAGGCGCGAGUCGCCUGGGGAGGAGCCUGCGUCCGAUUAGCUAGUUGGUGGGGUAAAGGCCUACCAAGGCUACGAUCGGUAGCUGGUCUGAGAGGAUGAUCAGCCACACUGGGACUGAGACAC
rnacentral:rRNA from 1 species